ensembl:lncRNA
ACAGUGGUAUAGAACAACACAGGCCUGCAGAUGGGCUGUAAAAGAUAAGACAGUGGUAUAGAACAACACGGGUGGGGCCUGCAGGUAGGCUGUAAAAGAAAAGACAGUGGUAUAGAACAACACAGGCCUGCAGGUAGGCUGUAAAAGAUAAGACAGUGGUAUAGAACAACACAGGUGGGGCCUGCAGGUAGGCUGUAAAAGAUAAGACAGUGGUAUAGAACAACACAGGUGGGGCCUGCAGGUAGGCUGCAGAGGGACUAUACAGUGGUAUAGAACAACACAGGCCUGCAGGUGGGCUGUAAAAGAUAAGACAGUGGUAUAGAACAACACAGGUGGGGCCUGCAGGUAGGCUGUAAAAGAUAAGACAGUGGUAUAGAACAACACAGGUGGGGCCUGCAGGUAGGAUGUAAAAGAUAAGACAGUGGUAUAGAAUAACACAGGUGGGG